AAUAGUUAUCCCAUCACUUAUCUCGCGUAAACCCUGAGCGCCGUCUAGGAUUCGCGAGUCGGGUCCUGUUCAUCUUCUUCUUCUUUCCGUUUGCGAUGCAGGCUCCCGUGUAAUCAAUUUCUCCCACGCCUUCGCACUCUUCAAUCAAUUGAUUAACCCCAUUAAUGGGGUCCGUUGGCUUCCUCCUUCGGAUCUUCUAUAAAACCUCCACUUCACGACGACUUGUUUUUCCUCUCUCCAAUUUCAAUCGCGAUGAAGAUUACCGGUUCAAGCGACUCUGUGAACUCGAAAUGCGAAGCGGCGGCCCUCUCGGCUCCGGUCAAAACCGGUGACCAAUCCGGUGUUCAUUCCGACCAUAAAUUCCGACGUAAAUUCUGCGUUCAAUUAGUUAUAAACGAAUAAGAAACUCUUCAAAUUCCUCCUGCAUUCCACAUCACUAUAUUAAUCGAUGGCGAGUUCUGGAUUCGAAGAUCUAUCACUAUGAAACUGCCUAUUGAAGCAACUAUACCGUUACCAAACCGGUUGCCGCCGUACUCAUACCGUGGAUAUUGGUCUUCUUUCUGCUGGUGGACUAUUUUUGGUAUCAUCCUCUUUAUCCUCUCAGCCACCGCAUCUAUUAUUGUAUACCAAUUCAAAUUGGAUUGAGAAGUUCAUGGCAUACACUUAAAUUCUCUAAACAUGUGAACAUCAAGAGGAUUUAAAAGAGGUUUUGACUUUUAAAUGCUAGCAAGAAGGUGGAUCAAUGGGAAGCUUUUUGAAUAUACUUUGUAGACAUUUCUUUUAUUUGUUCUUCUGUCCAAUAUUUGUGGACACAAUUGUGGCUUCCCUAAACCCACGUCUGUCUUAUUCUCCUUAAUUAAGUAAAUGUGUUUCAGGUAGCAUUUAAAGUACUGACUUUGUCUCAGGGUUAUGGAGACGGGGAAGAAGCUGGCAGAGUUGCAGUGCGGAGAGGAUGAGGAGCAAAAGGCCUUACAUUGCACUUAAUCAUAGAUUGGAGAUAGACGUGUGGGUGAGAACAGGCUGCCUUUUGAGCGUUUAAUAUGAUGAGAUUACAAGAAUAGAUGGAUUAAGCGGCCUGAGCUCUUAUCAGCCAGAUCUAGCAUGCCAGCUAAUGAAAGGAAAGCUCGCAGAUGUCUGUACUUUAAAUGCCAGUGAAGUAACAAAGCGAAUGAAUCAGUUACUGUUUUCUUUACAAAGUUUUUGUGUUUAGAUAUAUAUUGGUUUCCAAUUCUACUUUCGUCUGUUUUUAGGCUGCUUAGAGUACUUGGAGCACCGAGUGAUGCGAGGAUCUAUUGGGCUAGAGGGGAACCCCUUGAGGAAAAAAAAUGAGCUUUUAUAAUGGCAGCACUCGAGUAUAUAGCAUGGAAGGAGAGCGUUGUGGUCAUGGCAUCUCAUGAAGGGUCACAGAGCUUAUGAAGAACACAAGAAGCUUAUAACGCCAAGCAAAAGCUCUCAAACUCAGGAAGAUGAUGACUGAAAAUGGACACUCAAUUAUCUUCUUCGUCUGAAUCAAGUGACAGUGAUUGUGGGAAA